CGGGGAAUAUUGGGCAAUGGGGGCAACCCUGACCCAGCGACGCCGCGUGGGGGAAGACGGCCUUCGGGUUGUAAACCUCUUUUGUGCGGGAAGAAGGAAGUGACGGUACUGUACGAAUAAGUCCCGGCUAACUACGUGCCAGCAGCCGCGGUAAUACGUAGGGGACGAGCGUUGUCCGGGAUUACUGGGCGUAAAGGGCGCGCAGGCUGUGCUGCAAGUCAGCUGUUAAAUGUCUGGGCUUAACCCGGGCAUGCAGUUGAGACUGCGGUGCUGGAGUGCUGUAGAGGCAAGUGGAAUUCCCAGUGUAGCGGUGAAAUGCGUAGAUAUUGGGAAGAACACCGGUGGCGAAGGCGACUUGCUGGGCAGCAACUGACGCUGAGGCGCGAAAGCCAGGGGAGCAAACGG
rnacentral:rRNA from 1 species